rnacentral:rRNA from 1 species
GACGAAGGGGGCUAGCGUUGUUCGGAAUUACUGGGCGUAAAGCGCGUGUAGGCGGUUGCCCAAGUCGGGUGUGAAAGCCUUGAGCUCAACUCAAGAAAUGCACUCGGUACUGGGUGACUAGAGGACCGGAGAGGAUAGUGGAAUUCCCAGUGUAGUGGUGAAAGUACGUAGAGAUUGGGAAGAACACCAGUGGCGAAGGCGGCUAUCUGGACGGUUUCUGACGCUAAGACGCGAAAGCGUGGGGAGCAAACAGG